UCUUGUUAUUCAAUUUAGUCUAUUUAAUAACUCGAUUAAAUUCAUUAGUCAAUUAAUUCUUUAUAUAUAUAAAAAUUAAGAAUUUAAUCUUAGAACAUACCCAUUGGGAAUCGGGCGACAAUUCCAUGAUCAGCGCGAAGAGAAGAGGAUUCUGUCUCUCGGGGCCUCGCCGGAGUGCCGCCGUCCGGUCACCGGACCGCCGCCGCCGACCGCCAUGCACGGUGGUCGGAAAUUCAAAUCAUCACCAAAAUUAACAAACAAUCUAUCAUUUUAUUUGUUUCGAUGAGAGGAUCAUUAAUAUGUAUUCAAAUCAAGGUGGGUACGAACUAUUUGGCCGGAAAUUGAUCGGAAAGGUUCGGUGAUACCCAUUUUGGGUUUUCCGAUUCCGGCCAUUACAGUCGACGAGGAGGCCAUCAAAUGAAAGAAGAAGAAGAGAGGAGUCAUUUGGUACUCACCUUGAGCCCUAGGCUUGCCUGAAACGGCGUGAAU